rnacentral:misc_RNA from 1 species
GAUGAAGAACGCAGCGAAAUGCGAUACGUAAUGUGAAUUGCAGAAUUCAGUGAAUCAUCGAGUCUUUGAACGCACAUUGCGCCCCCUGGUAUUCCGGGGGGCAUGCCUGUCCGAGCGUCAUUGCUGCCCUCAAGCACGGCUUGUGUGUUGGGCCUCCGUCCUCCUCCCGGGGGACGGGCCCGAAAGGCAGCGGCGGCACCGCGUCCGGUCCUCGAGCGUAUGGGGCUUCGUCACCCGCUCUUGUAGGCCCGGCCGGCGCUUGCCGACACAUCAAUCUUUUUUCCAGGUUGACCUCGAAUCAGGUAGGGAUACCCACUGAACUUAAGCAUAUCAAUAAGCGGAGGA